UCAAGAGUACGUGAAACUGCUUAGAGGUUAAGCCCGAUGAACCUGAAUAUCCAUUAUGGAAAAUUCAAUAUUACGAAUAUGAUAUUUAAUUAUAUUGUAUGAAUAGUAUGCAAUUUUUCCAUAUAAGGACAUUGUAAUCUGUUAAUGUCUUAAAUGUUUAUCAAAAGAUCUUUUACUUAAGUUUAUUUAAAUUGUUUAUCUUCGGAUAUUCAACAUAAAAUAAAUGUUCAAGAUUUGUUAAACCAUUGACAGAUAUAAUUAUAUAAAAUGCUCAAAUUCUUCGGAAUUUUUUAAUGAUAAGUAGAUCUAUUGAUUUAUUUGUUAUUGCAUGCAUUUUUAUGAUUAACAAUGCGAUAGAUUCAGGAUACCUUCGGGACCCGUCUUGAAACACGGACCAAGGAGUCUAACAUAUGUGCAAGUCAUUGGGUAUUUUUAAUAAAACCCAAUGGCAUAAUUAACUUAACUGAUUAAUAAUGGGAUUAAUUUAUAUUUUGUUAUGAUUUAUUUAUUCAAUCCCGGGGCGUUCUAUACAGUUAUGCAUAAUGAUAUUUAUAUUAUUUAUGCCUCUAACUAGAGCGUACCUUGAGCAUAUAUGCUGUGACCCGAAA
rnacentral:rRNA from 1 species